GUGUAUGGCCACACUAUCGUGAGCAUGUCCCAUCUUGUCUGAAAUCCGGAGGUAAGCAGGGUCGGGCCUGGUUAGUACUUGGAUGUGGGACUGCCUGAGAAUACAAGGUGCUGUGGCUG
ensembl:rRNA 5S_rRNA 5S ribosomal RNA